rnacentral:rRNA from 1 species
UACGUAGGGGGGCAAGCGUUGUCCGGAAUCAUUGGGCGUAAAGAGCGUGUAGGCGGCCCGGUAAGUCCGCUGUGAAAGUCCAGGGCUCAACCCUGGGAUGCCGGUGGAUACUGUCGGGCUCGAGUCCGGAAGAGGAGUGUGGAAUUCCUGGUGUAGCGGUGAAAUGCGCAGAUAUCAGGAGGAACACCAAUGGCGAAGGCAGCACUCUGGGACGUGACUGACGCUGAGACGCGAAAGCGUGGGGAGCAAACAGG